AUGAACGCUGGCGGCGUGCCUAAUACAUGCAAGUCGAGCGAACAGACGAGGAGCUUGCUCCUCUGACGUUAGCGGCGGACGGGUGAGUAACACGUGGAUAACCUACCUAUAAGACUGGGAUAACUUCGGGAAACCGGAGCUAAUACCGGAUAAUAUAUUGAACCGCAUGGUUCAAUAGUGAAAGACGGUUUUGCUGUCACUUAUAGAUGGAUCCGCGCCGCAUUAGCUAGUUGGUAAGGUAACGGCUUACCAAGGCAACGAUGCGUAGCCGACCUGAGAGGGCGCGCGCCCCCCCUGGAGUGGCGCCACGCCCCAGCCCCCUCCGGGAGGCGCCAGGGGGGAUUCUUCCGCAAGGGGCGAAGGCAUGACGGAGCACCGCCGCGUGAGUGAGGAGGUUCUUCGGUUCGAAAACCUUUUUUAUUGGGGAAAAACAAAUGUGAAAGUAACUAUGCACGUCUUGACGGUACCUAAUAAGAAAGCCACGCCUAACUCCGUC
rnacentral:rRNA from 1 species